GCCCUUGUGGCACAGGGGUAGCGCACUCCCUUGGUAAGGGAGAGGUCAUGAGUUCAAAUCUCAUCAAGGGCA
rnacentral:tRNA from 1 species